rnacentral:ncRNA from 2 species
AUAUUGUUACUGGGGAGCCUGUAGACAGGCUGAGAGUGGAAUGUGAUUCCAGACCCUCAUAACCUGAUUUGGAUAAUGCCAACGUAGGGAGAUAAUAUCAUCAGAUCU